rnacentral:misc_RNA from 1 species
AAGUCGUAACAAGGUUUCCGUAGGUGAACCUGCGGAAGGAUCAUUAACACGUAUCCUAACGUUAAACCACCCGUGCACCUUCAUCCUUCUUACUACUACUAGCCCAUCUUGCUGAGGACCGAACCUCUUGCUUUUACUUGCGAAGCUGGAGAUACACUAGCCAGUCCACUGCUGGAAACUAAGUCUUCCAAGCAAAAUCCGAUGCUCGGGCCCUAACUCGGUCCUAGAGUCGGUAACCCGAACGUUAACAAUGGAUAUCUUGGCUCUC